rnacentral:tRNA from 3 species
UUUAAUGAGGUGUUGUAUGCACAAUACAUUUUGGUUGUAUAAGUAGUUAGUAACUCAUUAUUU